GUGUCAGCCGCCGCGGUAAUACGUAGGUGGCAAGCGUUGUCCGGAAUCAUUGGGCGUAAAGCGCGCGUAGGCGGCUUGUCAGGUCUGAUGUGAAAUCUUGAGGCUCAACCUUAAGCGUGCAUCGGAAACCGGCUUGCUAGAGUCUGGGAGAGGAGAGUGGAAUUCCUGGUGUAGCGGUGAAAUGCGUAGAUAUCAGGAGGAACACCGGUUGCGAAGGCGGCUCUCUGGAACAGUACUGACGCUGAGGCGCGAAAGCUAGGGGAGCGAACAGGAUUAGAAACCCGCGUAGUCC
rnacentral:rRNA from 1 species